AGUGAACGCUGGCGGUAGGCCUAACACAUGCAAGUCGAACGGCAGCACAGUAAGAGCUUGCUCUUACGGGUGGCGAGUGGCGGACGGGUGAGGAAUACAUCGGAAUCUACUUUUUCGUGGGGGAUAACGUAGGGAAACUUACGCUAAUACCGCAUACGACCUACGGGUGAAAGCAGGGGAUCUUCGGACCUUGCGCGAUUGAAUGGGCCGAUGUCGGAUUAGCUAGUUGGCGGGGUAAAGGCCCACCAAGGCGACGAUCCGUAGCUGGUCUGAGAGGAUGAUCAGCCACACUUGAACUGAGACACGGUCCAGACUCCUACGGGAGGCAGCAGUGGGGAAUAUUGGACAAUGGGCGCAAGCCUGAUCCAGCCAUACCGCGUGGGUGAAGAAGGCCUUCGGGUUGUAAAGCCCUUUUGUUGGGAAAGAAAAGCAGCAGGUUAAUACCCCGCUGCUCUGACGGUACCCAAAGAAUAAGCACCGGCUAACUUCGUG
rnacentral:rRNA from 1 species